GCGCUAGUGGUUCAGUGGUAGAACUCUUGCCUGCCACGCGGGAGACUGUAUGGGGUUCGAUUCUCCGCUAGCGCA